AUGCAUAUCACAAAGAACGUAUGCGAGAGUCUGCUUGGUACCCUGCUCAACAUUCCAGAGAGGACGAAAGAUGGGCUGAAAGCAAGGGCAGACUUGAAAUCAAUGGGCAUCAGGGAGGAGCUUCACGCUAAUGAUGAUGAUGAUGAAGCGAAGCAGGACACGGAAAGUCGUCGCAAAGGCAAAAAGGCCAAGAAGACCGGAAAUGACUUCCCUCCCGUGUGCUUCACUCUAAGUCAGGAGGAGAUCGAUCAGUUUUUCACCUGCCUUGUAGGAGUAAAACUUCCUUACGGUUACACGGGGAAGAUAAGCAGAUACCUAGACUCAGCGAAGCAGAAGUUCAGCGGGAUGAAGUCUCAUGACUGUCACGUGCUGAUGACGUAG
rnacentral:rRNA from 1 species